CUACCAUGGCAGUCACGGGUAACGGAGAAUUAGGGUUCGAUUCCGGAGAGGGAGCCUGAGAAACGGCUACCACAUCUACGGAAGGCAGCAGGCGCGCAAAUUGCCCAAUCCCGACACGGGGAGGCAGUGACAAGAAAUAACAACUCUAGGUUUUCUUAGAAGUGUAAUGAGGAUAAUUUACAAACCUUACCGAAAGCAAUUGGAGGGCAAGUCUGGUGCCAGCAGCCGCGGUAAUUCCAGCUCCAAAAGCGUAUAUUAAAGUUGUUGCAGUUAAAAAGCUCGUAGUUGAAGUUCUGGCUGUAUUGGGCCUCUGCACUUGAUGCGAAGGAACCAGCAGUCAUCCGCUUGCAAAUACAUGUUCUUCCUUAACCGGUAGACUGUAUAAGUAAGCAAUUUACCUUGAGAAAAACAGAGUGUUCCAGGCAGGUUUGUCCGGAAUGCAUUAGCAUGGAAUAAUAGAAUAUGACUAGAGUCGAUUUGUUGGUUAAAGGCUUUAGUAAUGAUUAAUAGGAACAAUCGGGGGCAUUGGUACUCGUCAGUCAGAGGUGAAAUUCUAAGAUUUGACGAAGACUAACUGAUGCGAAAGCGUUUGCCAAGAAUGUUUUCAUUAAUCAAGAACGAAAGUUAGGGGAUC
rnacentral:rRNA from 1 species